UGAAUGUCGGAUGAAGGAAGUCAGCUACCAUCCCUUCCGCUAUGGCAGGAUUGUAGAGGAUAUCGACGGACUUAGAUUGCGCGUGCUAUUCUACAAUGAGCAGAGGCCUGAACCGUAUUUUAGCUAUGAGCAGCUGCGUGAAGGCAACUUCCUGUGUCUGGCCAAUGCCAUGAUUCACGUUUUUGCCGACAGUACCUGUGGGCUUUAGAGUGAACGAUCCCUCCCUCGUUCACAUCAUAGAACUUUUUUGACAGGCGAACAGAGCGUAAGUCACACUCAUACAGCUGCUUUUAGAGACCUGUUUAUGUGAACAGACUGUGUUUCAAUAUUAUAGAGAAGUGUGUUUAUGUGAACAGACUGUGUGUCAACCUUAUAAACAAGUGUGUUUAUGUGAACAGAGUGUCAACAUUAUACAUAGGCGUGUUUUUUGUGAGCAAACUGUACACGAACUUGUAUUAUCUAUACACAUCUAUGCCUGUAUGUCAAUAGCACACUAACUUCAAUCACUGAACUCUUUUGUGUGACGAGUGACGCCCCUACACUGGAAUCAACAUCAACACAUGCAAGUGACAACUGUACCUGACUUCAGGGACGUCCUGCUCCUGCUCACCCUGUCAGCUAUCCUGUUUAUAGACUUUCUCCGUGUACGGCUGAAAGUGGGAAGAACACACAUCAAGAAUUGUGGAGAUGUCGAGAUUGAAUUUGUUGUUAUUUUCCCUCCCCUCUCAUUUAUCUAGUCACAAUCUGAUAAGCAGACAAGUAUCCAUCCAGUCCACACAUAUACACACUAGGGGAAGCAACUCUGUCCCAACCAGCUAGAAGUUGAAAGUUGUCUCGCCUGGCUGCACAACACAUUUCCUAAUUUUAGACAUUUUUAUGGCAUGAAUCUAUUUAAAUAAUCAGUUUGAUAGAAACUAACUUUUGUUGUUGAUAAAAUGAAACUGUUUGAGCCAGACUUUUCACUCCGUUGGCAUAUUUUUCGUCUGCAACUCAUCGAAAUGAAACAGAAGCGAUUUUUAAAUAAUAUUUGUAACUUUGUUUCCUUGGAACAGUUGUAAGUUUUACACACACUUUUGAGCAUCUAGCCCCAGUCUUCUUGUACUGUGCUUGCUGACUGGGAAGUGCUGGUAGGUGUCAGCUGUAACAUGUCCACCCGAUUGUUUGAAGCUGUAUUUUUAUUUAAGUUAUGUUUAUUUAAUGUAUCUAAUACUGUUUCAAUUCAGUAGUUCACCUGGUCAUAUUAUUGUAACAAAUAUUUUUUUUAAUAAACAAAGCACGUUUAAGAAGAAGAAGAAAACAUAUCUCGCACAGCACUCUCGUCCGUGAUCCUCCCACUAAUUAUUUCGGGGCCCUAACAGUUUAGCCAAGUCUGUCAAUGGUUAUUAUGGGUAAUAUCAGUUGUUGCAUCUGUGACACCUGUAUUGUGCACGUGCACCUGUAUUGUGGACAAGUUUAUUAAAUUAUAAAGAAAAAAA